rnacentral:rRNA from 1 species
UACGUAGGUGGCAAGCGUUGUCCGGAUUUAUUGGGUUUAAGGGUGCGUAGGCGGUUCUAUAAGUCAGUGGUGAAAUCCGGCAGCUCAACUGUCGAUGUGCCUAUUGAUACUGCAGAACUUGAGUACAGACGAGGUAGGCGGAAUUGACGGUGUAGCGGUGAAAUGCUUAGAUAUCGUCAAGAACACCGAUAGCGAAGGCAGCUUACUAGGCUGUAACUGACGCUGAUGCACGAAAAGUGUGGGGACCGAAACAGG